rnacentral:rRNA from 1 species
CUACUCGGGUUUCUAAUCCUGUUUGCUCCCCUAGCUUUCGUUCCUCAGCGUCAGUAACGGUCCAGCGCGCCGCUUUCGCCACGGGUGUUCCUGCAGAUAUCUACGCAUUUCACCGCUACACCUGCAAUUCCACGCGCCUCUCCCGCACUCUAGCACAGCAGUUUCGGAAGCAGCUUCUGGGUUAAGCCCAGAAAUUUCACUCCCGACUUGCCACACCGCCUACGAACCCUUUACACCCAGUAAUUCCGAACAACGCUGGCCCCCUACGUCUUACCGCGGCUGCUGGCAC